rnacentral:rRNA from 1 species
AUUGAACGCUGGCGGCAUGCCUAACACAUGCAAGUCGAGCGAGCGGCGGACGGGCGAGUAAUGUAUGGGGCCUGCCCGAUAGAGGGGGAUAACUACUGGAAACGGUAGCUAAUACCGCAUACUAUCGGAUAACCCAUAUGGGAUUAGCUAGUAGGUGAGGUAAUGGCUCCCCUAGGCGACGAUCCCUAGCUGGUCUGAGAGGAUGAUCAGCCACACUGGGACUGGGACACGGCCCAGACUCCUACGGAGGCAGCAGUGGGGAAUAUUGCACAAUGGGCGCAAGCCUGAUGCAGCCAUGCGGCGAGUAUGGAGAAGGCCCUGGGGUUGUAAAGUACUUUUGGCAGAAAAGCGGUAUCUGCAGAAUAAGCACCGGCUAACUACGUGCCAGCCGCCGCGGUAAUAC